GGCCCUUGGAGGAGUUGAUUCACUGAACACUCACAAUGAGGGAGGGAGCUCUUUCCCAAGAGACCGUGUGGGAGCCAGGGCUGAGGAAGUUGGGACUCAACUCAAGGUGUAUUUUCCAGGCUUUGGACAUAGAGUCAGUGUACAAACAAUGAUAAGUAUAAUAUUUAUCCCACUCACUGAUUUUUUUUAAUGCUCUAACUUAAAGCUCUAAUUUUAAGCUCUCUUCUUGGGGCUUAAAGAUUAGGGAAGACAUAAGCCUUGAAGUGAUGCAAAAACAUAAUUUGUAUAUUUUCUUUAUCCCUUAGAGCCUCUUGAUUUCUUAGGCCAUGAUGGAGUCACAGUUACAAAAUCUGAUUACUUCUUAAAUAAUUUGAUCAUGAAGUCACAGUUAUGAAAUCUAAUUAUUUCCUAAGAUAUUUUAAUAUUUGCAAUGGAAAGAGUAGGAACAAAUGAGUCUCAAAGUGUCUAUCUGAAAAAGUAAAAUUUUAACUCCCAUGUUGUGACUCACCUUCCACUAUUAAGCUUGGAGACUCUGGGUGUGAUGUUAGGAAGGUUUUUUUAUUGUCACUCAAGCUCUUCCAUUGAAUCUGAGUA
rnacentral:lncRNA from 1 species